rnacentral:rRNA from 1 species
AUACGUAGGUGGCGAGCGUUGUCCGGAAUUACUGGGCGUAAAGGAUGCGUAGGUGGAUAUUUAAGUGGGAUGUGAAAUCCCCGGGCUCAACCCGGGAACUGCAUUCCAAACUGGAUAUCUAGAGUGCAGGAGAGGAAAGCGGAAUUCCUAGUGUAGCGGUGAAAUGCGUAGAUAUUAGGAGGAACACCAGUGGCGAAGGCGGCUUUCUGGACUGUAACUGACACUGAGGCAUGAAAGCGUGGGUAGCAAACAGGAUUAGAUACCCUGGUAGUCCACGCCGUAAACGAUGGGUACUAGGUGUAGGAGGUAUCGACCCCUUCUGUGCCGUCGUUAACACAAUAAGUACCCCGCCUGGGGAGUACGGUCGCAAGACUAAAACUCAAAGGAAUUGACGGGG